AAGUUCAAUUGGGUCGGUGCUUU
rnacentral:miRNA from 1 species